UACGUAGGGGGCAAGCGUUGUCCGGAAUCAUUGGGCGUAAAGAGCGCGUAGGCGGUCCGGUAAGUCCGCUCUGAAAGUCCGGGGCUCAACCCCGGGAGGCGGGCGGAUACUGUCGGGCUAGAGUCCGGAAGAGGCGAGUGGAAUUCCUGGUGUAGCGGUGAAAUGCGCAGAUAUCAGGAGGAACACCCGUGGCGAAGGCGGUUCUCUGGGACGGUACUGACGCUGAGACGCGAAAGCGUGGGGAGCGAACAGG
rnacentral:rRNA from 1 species